rnacentral:lncRNA from 1 species
GCUCAGAGUUGUUCCCAGGUCAGAGAAUGGAGAGAGCCUGGGCAUGAUGGGAUAUCCCUGCCUAGAUCUUUCGGUGAGUCUCUACCUCAGCUACUCUUAGGAUCAGGGGGAGAACCAUGGAAAGGCCCGGUGUCAGACAUCCGGAAAGAAGACGGGAUGAAUGUUUUACCUCUGAAGUACAUCCCAAAUCUGGGAGUUAACUUCAGCUUUGCUGGGGUCUAUUUGGCCAGUGAAACUCUGCCUAGGGCGGGAGGUGAGACAUGUUGGCAGUAACGCUGCCUUGUUAUUCUUUACUCCACUGAGAUGUUUGGGUGGAGAGAAACUCUGAGAGGCUGGGCCCCAUCAUGGCUGGCCGCUGGGUGAUGGGACAUGGUGCAGGCCUGGGCAGUAGGCAGGCAAGGUCUGCUGUGCGGAGGCUGCCGGUCGCCGCUAAGCACCUGGGCGGGUGUCCUCGUGCCUAUCCGGGGCGACGUACUUGGUCCAAGUUCGGUUGCGGCUGGCGGAGGUUGGAGAUUCUCCGGGGCCCCCAGCUCACCUCCCUGGAUGGCGCUUUCGGGGAUCUGGAAGGGACCCAGUCUCGGUUUCUUGGGGAAGUUCAGGCAAGCCUGAAUCGGAGCCUGGGCAG